rnacentral:rRNA from 1 species
GAGAGUUUGAUCCUGGCUCAGGACGAACGCUGGCGGCGUGCCUAAUACAUGCAAGUAGAACGCUGAAGAGAGGAGCUUGCUCUUCUUGGAUGAGUUGCGAACGGGUGAGUAACGCGUAGGUAACCUGCCUUGUAGCGGGGGAUAACUAUUGGAAACGAUAGCUAAUACCGCAUAACAAUGGAUGACACAUGUCAUUUAUUUGAAAGGGGCAAUUGCUCCACUACAAGAUGGACCUGCGUUGUAUUAGCUAGUAGGUGAGGUAACGGCUCACCUAGGCGACGAUACAUAGCCGACCUGAGAGGGUGAUCGGCCACACUGGGACUGAGACACGGCCCAGACUCCUACGGGAGGCAGCAGUAGGGAAUCUUCGGCAAUGGGGGCAACCCUGACCGAGCAACGCCGCGUGAGUGAAGAAGGUUUUCGGAUCGUAAAGCUCUGUUGUAAGUCAAGAACGAGUGUGAGAGUGGAAAGUUCACACUGUGACGGUAGCUUACCAGAAAGGGACGGCUAACUACGUGCCAGCAGCCGCGGUAAUACGUAGGUCCCGAGCGUUGUCCGGAUUUAUUGGGCGUAAAGCGAGCGCAGGCGGUUUGAUAAGUCUGAAGUUAAAGGCUGUGGCUCAACCAUAGUUCGCUUUGGAAACUGUCAAACUUGAGUGCAGAAGGGGAGAGUGGAAUUCCAUGUGUAGCGGUGAAAUGCGUAGAUAUAUGGAGGAACACCGGUGGCGAAAGCGGCUCUCUGGUCUGUAACUGACGCUGAGGCUCGAAAGCGUGGGGAGCGAACAGGAUUAGAUACCCUGGUAGUCCACGCCGUAAACGAUGAGUGCUAGGUGUUGGAUCCUUUCCGGGAUUCAGUGCCGCAGCUAACGCAUUAAGCACUCCGCCUGGGGAGUACGACCGCAAGGUUGAAACUCAAAGGAAUUGACGGGGGCCCGCACAAGCGGUGGAGCAUGUGGUUUAAUUCGAAGCAACGCGAAGAACCUUACCAGGUCUUGACAUCCCGAUGCUAUUUCUAGAGAUAGAAAGUUACUUCGGUACAUCGGUGACAGGUGGUGCAUGGUUGUCGUCAGCUCGUGUCGUGAGAUGUUGGGUUAAGUCCCGCAACGAGCGCAACCCCUAUUGUUAGUUGCCAUCAUUCAGUUGGGCACUCUAGCGAGACUGCCGGUAAUAAACCGGAGGAAGGUGGGGAUGACGUCAAAUCAUCAUGCCCCUUAUGACCUGGGCUACACACGUGCUACAAUGGUUGGUACAACGAGUUGCGAGUCGGUGACGGCAAGCUAAUCUCUUAAAGCCAAUCUCAGUUCGGAUUGUAGGCUGCAACUCGCCUACAUGAAGUCGGAAUCGCUAGUAAUCGCGGAUCAGCACGCCGCGGUGAAUACGUUCCCGGGCCUUGUACACACCGCCCGUCACACCACGAGAGUUUGUAACACCCGAAGUCGGUGAGGUAACCUUUUGGAGCCAGCCGCCUAAGGUGGGAUAGAUGAUUGGGGUGAAGUCGUAACAAGGUAGCCG